UAAAAGAAUAGGACAUGGGUGCCGGUCU
rnacentral:piRNA from 1 species